ACUGAAGAUGUCAGCCCCUGCCCGUUCAAAGGUAGAGAAUUUGAUAAAAGAAAGAGAUAGCCUAGUGCAGGAGAUAUUUAAUAUAAAGAAAUCAUUGGCCAACAUGGAGGCCUGGAUGGAGAUGCAGCAACAUGCACAAUCUACUCAAAACCUCAGAUCACCAACAAUUGCUAAAUCUGCUCAAGCAUCAUCGCCGGAUGUUAUAUAUAUCGGUAAGAGAUGCGACUUGCUUGGUUGGGGAAAUCAUGAUGUAGUUGCUCAUGGUCAAGUACACGAAGUUAAUCCAAAUGCAGUUGUCCAUUGCGAACCAUUGGAGGAGGGAGCUUAUGUUAUUACCCUGACUAAGAUUAUACAUCCUGACACUCGUUUAUGGAAAGAAGAUGGGUUCGCAUCUACACUUGGGGAGGCCGGUCCGGGAUCACUUGUGCAAUGGGGGAAGGAAUCUUUGAGAUUUCGAUAAUUUGAACAAAUUUGGUACUCUAUAAUUGAACUUGGUGUGGAUGCUUUUUUUAGUUACUUUAUAUGAUGUUUCUCUUGUUUUUUUGGUUAAUUUUGAACUAAUUUGGCACUUUAGUUACUUUAUAUUGAUGAACUUAGAACUUGGUUUGGUUUUUAGUUACUUUUUACUGAUGUUUCGCUUGUUUAUUUUUUGUUACUCUAUAUGUUGUUUGGUUUAGUUUUUAUAAUUUUGAAUGAAUUUUAUACUCUAUAUUUAAACAUAUUAGACUUUAUUUGGUCGUCACAAACUAAAUGGAGCCAAAUCCCCUUUUUAACUCCGCCAAUGCAACUCCUUGCAUUGUUGGUCCCAAGCCCGGGUAAAGGAGGAGGGAGAAUGGGCAUCAAGGCUGAUGUAUUUUUAGCCCCACAGACCAAUGUUGCCACUACAAGGUUCAAUAUUAAAAUGGUAAAGUUUUUAACUAUUUAUUUUAUCUUUGUUUUUUCCUGUUCUUCAUAAAUAAUUUGAUGUCUUAGCCUCCUGUCAUUACCAGUUAGUCUUGUCACUAUUUGUACAUAUGUCAUCUCAUGAGUCUUACUAUUUGUAAUUUUGUUACCCCUGUAGUGAUUAUCAGAAAUAGUUGGCCAUCAUUGAAAGAUUACCCUUGUAGUGAGUCCAAUUAAGGUGUGGAUAAUAUAUGAUUUUAGUUCAUGGUAAAUAGUACCUUUUAUUGUGGAUCACCCCUGGACCAAAGACCUGGUACCUAUUGUUGUACGUUCAUAUUGAUUUUGCUAAUUGUAAUAAAAGACAGACUCAAGCUCAAGCUGGGGGAGAUUGUUACCACAAUUCCAACUAUUGGUAAGUACAAUUUAGAAGGCAGAUUUAAAUUUUAUUUAUUUAUUUAUUUUUAAAUUUCCUUUAGAAAUGCUAAUUGCAUUAAUAGAGGAUUGAGUUAUCCAAGGGGUAUUGACUUUCUAUGGGUAGUGUCAUCAGUAGAUCUUGGUUAUUUUUUCAUUCAGAUGUACUCAAAUUUUAGCUCUUUAUUUAUAUUUUCAGAUACACAAUUUUCUGGUUGUUGCUUCUGUGUUGCAAAUUAUUAUUCAGCUUUUACAUCUAAGUAAAUUUCUAUUUUAUUGGUGUUGUUUAUUAAUCUGUCCUGCUAGUGCAAAUAAAACCUUUGGUGAAGCCAAUCAAAGACAUAAUGAAAGUUCGUCGCAUUAAAUAUGCUUGGCAUGAAUUUUUUCUUGAGGCUGACAAGCUAAAGAAGUCAGCGGAGGAUGAAAUUCAUUUUCUCAAGGGAAGGGUUUCAGAACUUAAAAGUGAUCUUGUGUCGAAGUCCACAGAAGUUACAUCUAUAGUUUCAAGGAAAGAAGAAGCUCUAUCUUCAACAUUUGCUAAAAUUGAUCGUUUGAAGGAAGAAAAUUCUGUAAAAACAUGAGCAUUAUUGAAUGCAUAUGGAGGUUGUUUACUGUGUUAGAGUGUAUUUAUUUCUUGCACAUGAGGGCAUGCCUUAGUUGUAAUUCUUAUAAUAGGUUGAGCAAAGUGAAGUAUUGUUUAUUUAGAAAUGUGAAUGUAGGAUGCAUUGUAUGAUUUGAUUGCUAUUUGUAAUAAAUGCAUCAUUUUUAUCUGAUUGCAUUUUAUGUACUAUUUCUAUCAGCAUUAAGCUUAGAUGAGUUAUCAAUCACAA